GAGACUUUUGGUAGCGGCUGUAUUUCGUUGUGUGACAGUAAUGUUACUCUAGAAGGUCCUUGCUCAGGCCGUGGAUGCUGCCAGACACCGCUACCGCGAAAUCUUACAACACUAAACAUUCAACUCUCAAGCCUUUAUAAUCAUAGCAGGGUUUGGCAGUUUAAUCCGUGUGAAUUUGCGUUUUUAGCCGAUGAAAGGACUUUUAACUUUUCGAAUCUGCAGCUCUCUUCUUAUCCAUAUUCGCAAGAGACUAAAAAGUAUUUUGCAUCUGAUGUUGUGAUUGAAUGGGCAGUAAGAGAGGAGACAUGUGAAGAGGCGAAAUCGACUUCAAAUCCGGAUAAAAACUAUGCUUGUGGCCCAAAUACUGAUUGUAAAUACUACGAAAAUGUCGGAGGAUAUCGGUGCAACUGCAGAGAUGGAUUUACAGGAAAUCCUUAUCUUACACAGGGAUGCCAAGGUAGUUAUUCAAAGCAAUCAUCCUCGUCUUAUUGUUCUUUGGCUUUUUCAUUUUUCUUGGUUUCUAUUCCUUCUCUAAUGAAUCGCUCCAUAUCUAUAUAACAGACAUUGAUGAGUGCAAAGAACCAGACAGGUACAAGUGCGAUGGUACUUGCAAGAAUACAGAUGGGAACUACACAUGCAGUUGCCCACUUGGGAUGCGUGGUGAUGGUAAAGUUGGCUGUCAAGGAUUUCGCAUUACGACUAUUGCUGCGAGUACUAUCUCAAGUCAUUAUCCUCUUGCUUUCCUUCUUUAAUAUUAAUUAAGUUUUAACCAUCAAUAACUGAUCUUUCAUUUUGUUUAAAUAGUUGUUGGAGGGGUUGCAUCCAUUAUGGUUAUCGCUUUCCUGAUCAUCAUUCUAUACAAGAGGCGAAGAAACGAGAGGAAUUUUUUGAAAAAUGGCGGCUUGUUGUUGAAGCACCAAAGGGUAAGAAUCUUCACAGAAGCAGAAUUAGUGAAGGCUACNNNNNNNNNNNNNNNNNNNNNNNNNNNNNNNNNNNNNAAAGGAGUUUUGGCAGAUAACACCCAAGUUGCAGUAAAGAAGCCUAAAGAUAAAGACAAGACUCAAAUAAAUCAAGAAUUUCAACAAGAACUUGGCAUUGUUUUACAAGUUAACCAUAGAAAUGUUGUUAAGGUAUUAGGCCUUUGUUUGGAGACUAAAGUUCCUUUAUUAGUUUACGAAUUCAUUUCCCAUGGAACCCUUUCCCAGCAUAUCCAUUACAACAGGUCUAAAAUAUUAGCCACAUGGAAAAAUCGUCUAAGAGUAGCAGCAGAGACUGCGCUUGCACUUGAUUAUUUGCAUUCUUUAGCAGAUCCCCCAAUUAUCCAUGGCGAUGUCAAGUCAUGUAAUAUACUCUUAGACGAUACUUACACUGCUAAAGUAUCUGAUUUUGGAGCUUCAGUACUAAUUUCUCCAGGUCAAUCUGAUAUGGCCACAAGAAUACAAGGGACUAUUGGAUAUUUAGAUCCAGAGUAUCUUAUGACAGGUAAUUUAACUGAAAAGAGCGAUGUCUAUAGCUUUGGAGUGGUUCUUGUUGAACUAUUAACAGGGGAGAAACCAAAUUCUAGCGCAAGAUCUGGCGAAAAGAGUAACAUCAUUCAAUAUUUUCUCUCAUCUCUAGAAAAUAAUGAGCUAUCUAGGAUACUUUGUUUUGAUGUAGCUAGUGAGACUGAAAUGGAAGAGAUUGAAGUUUUUGCAGAGCUUGCAAAACAAUGCGUACGAGUUAGUGGCAUGAAAAGGCCAACUAUGAAACAAGUUUCAGAAGAGCUUGGCAGAUUGAGAAAAUUGCAUGAGAGAUCAGGGGAUUAUCAUCAAAAUAGUGAAGAGACUGAACAUUUGUUAGGUCAAUCAUCUUACCGUUCCAUUGACAUUGGAACUGCAAAGUUGAACCAACAAGAAGUCCUUAGCCUGACAACGUUCGAUGUCGAGUACUCUACUGGUAGCAUUUGAAGACUCACCAAUCAUCCAAGGAGCAUAAUGAAAUGUAAUGUUAGUUGUCAAAGGGUGUUUAUGUCCUUAAUCCUAGGAAUGUUGUCUCAAUAAGGAAAAAAAAAAAAAGUCUUUAGAUGUUGCAUUAAGUUAAAUAUUGUAAAAUAAUCAUAAUUUGGUAAAACUUUGAAAGUCAUAUUGUUAAGUUAUGGCAUUUUUUCCCCUUAUUUGGCAUUUUUCAAUUUUUCCCCUUACAUAAAACAGUUUUCUGUUUUUUAAUAAAACAGUUUUUUUACAAAAUAAAAACUAGAAGACAGAAAAUGAAAAAUAUGUUCACUUGAUAAUAAUAAAAAAUUAUAUUUUAAUUUAACUUAACAAAUAUUAUUGAUCACUUUCAUAAUUAAAAGUAAUAAAAUAUUAUAAAAUAAAUUUAGAAAUUUGGUAUGUAAAAGUUUUUGAAUUUUUACUAUUGAUUAUUUAUAAUAAUAAUAUCAUUUUUUAUCAUUUUGUAAAAUUUUUUNNNNNNNNNNNNNNNNNNNNNNNNNNNNNNNNNNNNNNNNNNNNNNNNNNNNNNNNNNNNNNNNNNNNNNNNNNNNNNNNNNNNNNNNNNNNNNNNNNNNNNNNUAAUUUUAAUUAUGAAAAUGUCAUUUUAAAAAAAAGUGGAAAGCACGGCUCCGGAGUAGGACUAAUUACAAGACUUCUUAGACCAAAGGGGUAUACCUUUGAAUUUUUGGCACGGAAGCUUCGGCAUAAUAUGACCCGAGCAAGAUUUCAAUGCUUCGUACAGGUCAAUAAAUGAAAUAUUAUAGUCUCAAAAUAUCGUGCUAAACAAUAAAAAGACAGAUAUUAGGUCAAAAUUGUCAAACUCUUUCAGAGUGACACUGAUUUUAGGGAUCAAUUUAUGUUGCAUAUGUAAUUCUUAAUGAGGCAUCAAGCAGGAGAGAUAAGCAUGUCUGACAGAGCACAAGACUCUAGAAUAUCACUUAGAAGACCUAAUAAGAGCUAGCCAUAAGAUGUACAAAAGAUAUCGGCUCCUGAGCAAGACUUAUUACAGGGCUUCUUAGACCAAAAGGGUAUAUCUUUUAAUUUUUGGGCGGAAGAUUCAGUAUGAAAUGGCCCGAGAAAGCUUUUAAUGUUUCCUACAGGUCAAUAGACGAAGUAUUAUAGUCUCAAAAUGUCAUGCCAAGCAACAGACAGAGAGAUAUUGAUUCAAAAUUAUCGAAUGCUUACGAAGUGGCAGGAAUUUUGGGGAUGAACAUAUACUGCGUAUGCAAUUCUCAAUGAGGUAUCGAGCAGACAAGAAAAGUAUGUCCUACUGACUGUAAGACCCCACACUGUCACCUAGAAGACCCAAUAUGAGUUGUCCGUUAGACGUACAAAAGAUAUCGGCUCCGGAGCAUGACUAGUUACAAGACUUCUAAGACCAAAUGGGUAUACUUUCAGAUUUUUAGGCCUAGAAGCUCCAGUAUGAAAUGGCCCAAGUAUGAUGUCAAUGCUUCCUAAAAGUCAGUAAAUGAAGUAUUAUAGUCUUAAAAUGUCAUGUCAAGCAAUAGAAAGAGAGAUAUUGGUUCAAAACUGUUGAUUGCUUCUAGAGUGGCACAGAUUUUAGGGGUGAAUUUAAAUUGCAUAUGCAAUUCUUAAUGAGGCAUUGAGCAAGCGAGAAAAGCAUGUUCAAAUGACUACAAGAAUCCAUAUUAUCACCUAGAAGCCCUUAUACGAGAAGUCCAUAAGACGUGCAAAAGGUAUCGGCUCUGAAGUAGGACUAGUUAUAGGGCUUCUUAAACCAAAUAAGUAUACCUUUGCAUUUUUUGCCCGGAAGCUCCAGUAUAAAAUUGUUCAAGGAAGAUUUAAUGCUUCGUACAUGUCAAUAGAUGAAAUAUUGUGGUAUCAAAGUGUCAUGCCAAGCAACAGAUAGAGAGAUAUUCGGUCAAAAUUGUCAAACGAUUCUAGAGUGGCACGGAUUUUGGGGAUCAAUUUAUGUUGCGUAUGCAAUUCUUAAUGAGGCAUCAAGCAGGCGAGAUAAGCAUGUCCGAAUGAGCACAAGCCCCCAUACCAUCUCCUAGAAGACCCUAUACAAGCUGCCCAUCAGACGUACAUAAGAUAUCAGCUUCGGAGCAGGACUUUUUAGACUAAAGGGGUAUAACUUUGGAUUUUUUGGCCCGAAAGCUUCUGCAUGAAAUUGCCCAAUCAUGAUUUCAAUGAUUCCUAUACGUCAAUAGACAAAGUAUUAUAGUCUCAAAAUGUCGUGCUAAUCAACAAACGGAGAGAUAUUGGGUCAAAAUUGUUGAAUGCUUUCGGAGUGGCACAAAUUUCGGGGAUGAAUUUAUAUUGCUUGUGCAAUUCUUAAUGAGGCUCGAGUAGGCAAGAAAAGCAUGUCCACCUUCCUCAAGACCCUAUACUAUCACCUAUAAAACCCUAUAUGAGCUGCUUGUCAGACAUGUAGAAGAUAUUGGCUCCAGAGUAGGACUAGUUACAGGACUUCUUAAACCAAAGGGGUAUACCUUUGGAUUUUUCGCUAAAAACUCCAGCAUGGAAUGGUCUGAAUAAGAUUUCAAUGCUUUCUACAGGUCAAUAGACGAAAUAUUAUAGUCUCAAAAUGUCGUGCCACGCAAUCUACAAAGAGAUUUUAGGUUAAAACUGUCAAAUGCUUUCGGAGUGGCAUAGAUUUUGGAGAUCAAUUUAUAUUGCAUAUGCAAUUUUUAAUGAGACAUGAAGCAUGUGAGAUAAGCAUGUCCGGCUAAGCACAAGACUCAUAAUAUCACUCAAAAGAUCCUAUACAAGCUGGUUAUAAGACGUACAGAAGAUAUCUGCUCUUGAACAAGACUUGUUACAAGGCUUCUUAAACCAAAGGGGUAUACCUUUAGAUAUUUUGGCCGGAAGCUCCGGUAUGAAAUGGCCUAAGCAGGAUUUCAAUGCUUCCUACAAGUUAAUAGACAAAUUAUUAUAAUUUCAAAAUGUCGUGCCAAGCAAUAGACAGAAAAAUAUUUGAUCAAAAUUGUUGAAUGCUUUCAGAGUGAUACAGAUUUUGCAUAUGCAAUUCUUGUUGAUUUAGGGAUUCUUAUUCAAUCCAUGUCAUGUCCAACAUGUUUUUAUUUCUAAACCAUGAAUUAUGUAUGUAAAAAGAUUGGGUUGAGUAAAAAAAUUAUUAACUCGUUUAUCCAUCAUGGAUAUUUUAACUCAAUAAACUCGAUUUAAUCUUGAUCAUGUGCAACCCAUAUAAAUACACUAAUUUAUACAUUCAAAUGGAUUGCAUCUCUAAGAAUUUAAACUCUGAGGUAGGACUUUAAAAUUUAGGCCCUUCUAUGGGGAGGACUUUAGAAAAUUCUAAAUAUAAAUAUAUGGUGAUACAAAAUAUUUUUCUUUAUAUUAAUAUAGUUUGACAACAUAAUAGUUACACUUAAUAACAUUAAGAUUUCAUGAAAUUUUUGUUGAUCCGUUCCUGCCCGUCUCCUAUUAAUAACAAUAAUAGCAACAUUAACAACAUAAUUUAUAAUUUCAUGCAUAACCUGGCAAACAAGUUUUCUUCUUGCCGGCUCCAACUGCCCUUCCCAGACCCUAUAGUAAUCAACCACCUCCAAGUUCACCAAAUAUAUUAAACAGCCAUCUGCUUUGACAACACAUACCAAUUAAUUAUAUUAAAUCUCAUUAAUCAGUAAUUAACAACAAAUACAUUGAAAUUUCAAAUUUCUUACUAUUUUUUCUUGCAAGAAAGGGACUCCGUACGAAGCUGGCACAAAUUACUUGCCUACUUGGUCNNNNNNNNNNNNNNNNNNNNNNNNNNNNNNNNNNNNNNNNNNNNNNNNNNNNNNNNNNNNNNNNNNNNNNNNNNNNNNNNNNNNNNNNNNNNNNNNNNNNNNNNNNNNNNNNNNNNNNNNNNNNNNNNNNNNNNNNNNNNNNNNNNNNNNNNNNNNNNNNNNNNNNNNNNNNNNNNNNNNNNNNNNNNNNNNNNNNNNNNNNNNNNNNNNNNNNNNNNNNNNNNNNNNNNNNNNNNNNNNNNNNNNNNNNNNNNNNNNNNNNNNNNNNNNNNNNNNNNNNNNNNNNNNNNNNNNNNNNNNNNNNNNNNNNNNNNNNNNNNNNNNNNNNNNNNAGGGUUGACCCUUAAGUUUGAUCAAAAUAUUAGACUGGGAAAUGGCCCGUUUCGGUUCUCCGAUACUCGAAACAAGCUCACAGCUAUUGGGUGUGAUACUUUAGCCCUUAUGAGAGAUGCUGCAGAGACUUUUGGCAGCGGUUGUGUGUCGUUGUGUGACAAGAAUGUUACUCUACAAGGUUAUUGCUCAGGUUUUGGAUGCUGUCAAACAUCGGUGCCACAAAGUCUUAAAACACUGAGAAUUAAUCUUGCAAGUCCGAGUAAUCACAGCAGCGUUUGGCGGUUUAAUCCGUGUGAAUUCGCAUUUCUAGCUGAUGAAAGGACUUUCGAUGUUUCAAAGCUGCAACUCUCUGCUCUUCCACGUUCACCAGUCACAAGACAGUUUGCUUCUUCUGAUGUUGUUCUUGAAUGGGUAGUAAGAGAGGAGAGUUGUAAGGCUGCACAAUCGAGCUCAAACUCAAAUAAAUAUGCUUGUGGCAGUAAUAGUAAUUGUACAUACUCUGAAAAUGGCAAGGGAUAUCGGUGCUUAUGCAAAGAUGGAUUUACAGGAAAUCCUUAUCUUCCACAAGGUUGCCAAGGUAAUAAUUAGUUAAGCAAAUCAUCCUCAUUUUUUCUUGUACUUUGAAUUUUCAUUUUUAUUGGUUUUCAUUUCUUCUCUAAUUAAUUACUUCAUAUCUAUAUAACAGACAUUGAUGAGUGCAAAGAACCAGACAAGUACAAAUGCGAUGGAAGUUGCAAGAAUACAAUUGGGAGCUACACAUGCAGUUGCCCACUUGGAAUGCGCGGUGAUGGUAAAGUUGGUUGUCAAGGAUUUCGCAUUACAACUAUUGCUGCAAGUACUAAUAUUUUCUCAACUCAAUCCUCUUGCUUUUCUUCUUUAUUCAAGUUUUUUAACCAUCAGUAAGUAACUGAUCUUUCGACUUUUUUAUAGUUGUUGGAGGGGUUGCAUCCAUUACGAUUAUCGCCUUACUGAUCAUCAUUUUAUACAAGAGGCGAAGAAAUGAGAGGAAUUUUUUGAAAAAUGGCGGCUUGUUGUUGAAGCACCAAAGGGUAAGAAUCUUCACAGAAGCAGAAUUAGUGAAGGCUACCAAAAAUUAUGAUUCAAGUCUAUUUCUUGGCGAAGGAGGUUUUGGAUAUGUAUACAAAGGAGUUUUGGCAGAUAACACCCAAGUUGCAGUAAAGAAGCCUAAAGAUAAAGACAAGACUCAAAUAAAUCAAGAAUUUCAACAAGAACUUGGCAUUGUUUCUCAAGUCAACCAUAGAAAUGUUGUCAAGGUAUUAGGCCUUUGUUUGGAGACUAAAGUUCCUUUAUUAGUUUAUGAGUUCAUUUCCAAUGGAACCCUUUUCCAACAUAUUCAUUACAACAAGUCUAAAAUAUUAGACAACUGGAAAUAUCGUCUCAGAAUAGCUGCAGAGACUGCACUUGCACUUGGUUAUUUGCAUUCUCUAGCAGAUCCCCCAAUUAUCCAUGGCGAUGUCAAGUCAUCCAAUAUACUCUUAGACGAUACUUACACUGCAAAAGUAUCUGACUUUGGAGCUUCAGUGCUAAUUUCUCCGGGUCAAUCUGAUAUGGCUACAAGAAUACAAGGGACUAUUGGAUAUUUAGAUCCAGAGUAUCUUAUGACAGGUAAUCUAACUGAAAAGAGCGAUGUUUAUAGCUUUGGAGUUGUUCUUGUUGAGCUGUUAACAGGCGAGAAACCAAACUCUAGCGGGAGAUCUGGAGAAAAGAGUAAUAUCGUUCAUUAUUUUCUCUCGUCCCUAGAAAAUAAUGAGCUAUCUCAAACUCUUUCUUUUAAUGUAGCCAGUGAAAGUGAAAUGGAAGAGAUUGAAGUUUUUGCAGAGCUUGCAAAAGAAUGCCUACGUGUUAGUGGCAUGAAAAGGCCAACUAUGAAACAAGUUGCUGAGGAGCUUGGCAGAUUGAGAAAAUUACAUGAGAGUUCAUGGGAUCAUCAUAAAAACAGUGAAGAGACUCAGCAUCUGUUAGGUGAAUCAACUUACUGUUCCAUUGACAUGGGAACUACAAAGUUGAACCAACAUGAAACCCUUAGUAUGACAACAUUUGAUGUCGAGUACUCUACAGAUAGCAUUUGAAUAUAUUGGUUAUAAAUUUCUAUAACGUUCUUUUUAUUAUUUGUAUAUUUGUAGACUCACUUACAUAGAGAGGUUCCAAUCAUCCCAAGGACUGUUUCUAGGCCUAGUUGUAGCAGAUUAUGCAUUGUAUUACUGAUUUGAGGCUUCGAAAUAUGAUUUGAGUUUAUUCAUUUUGUGAAUUGUGAAGAAGAUGAUGGGUUUUUUGAAGUACAGAAACAUUUUUUUCCCAGGGAGAUCACAUCGAUUGAUAAAAGCUAGAGAUUUCCACCAAGUUAACUGAUUUGGCUAAAAAACUGAAUUAAACCCAUUAAAAACAGUUUUGAUUUUAUUCAAUUUUUCAAAUUGAAUUGAAAUUUGCAUACUUUCAUUGACGUUAAGCUUUGAAUUGAAAACAGUACAAGUUUCAUUCUUGAAGCUCCAAGGGCUUGAAGUAUUUGCCAUCUAUAAGAUAGGUUCCAAUGCUGAGACGAACUGCCCACACAUCCUUGGGCUUUCUCGACACAAUUCUGGCCAUGGCCAUAUACUUAAACAAAUCAAAAAUCAACCAAAAAUCAUAUAUGAAGAUGGAAAAAGAGAGGAAGAAGAGAAGGGUUAGAAAUGCACCUUCCAACAUCUCCAGGCUUUACUAACCCAGAAUUAACCCUGAGACAAGGUACUGAAGUUGCGGUCUUUAUCAUUUUUGGAGCCUCAAUAACAACAAUAGGAGAGCCUAUCUCAAGUUUUUUAAAUUUUUCUGGUGAUGAUUCUUUGGAUUCACAUUUAGUGACGAAAUUGAAGUUUUGGUUCCUAGAACUUGAGUUGGUGAAUUGCAAGAUUGAAUUGUGAAGUUUUGUGCAUGGAAUUGUAGAGGUAGAUGAGAGAGAUAAUGCCAUGAGAAUAGAAGAUAGAAUUUGUAUGGUUCAUGUAGGAUGCGUUGAUGUCCUUUUAUGAUGGAUGUGAAAGAGGAUGUCCAAAUACAAAAUAUUCACUAAUGCCUUCUUAUGUAGUCAAAUUCAUAUUAUUAUUUUACUUCUGCACAUGAAAAAAGACAUUAUUAUUUUAUUUUUGUACUUGAAAUAAGUAUCUUUAUGCACCCUUAAUUUUUUUUACAACAAAAUCAAAAUAUAUGAAAAAAAAAUUAUAAAAAAUAACUUUUUUAAGCAAAACAAAAAAGGGUGUAUAGAUUCUUAAUUCUUACGUCAAAAUCGAAUUUUAUAAACCCUUGUUACAUUGGUGAAUCAUAGUAAAUUGUUAUUGAAAAUAUUUCUAGCAUAUAAAUAUAACGAAAUACAUCUCGUUACAUUAUAUUACACUCUAACACAAUUCCCUGAGCAUAAUUUUAAUUUUAUUUUUUUAUUAAAAUAAAAANNNNNNNNNNNNNNNNNNNNNNNNNNNNNNNNNNNNNNNNNNNNNNNNNNNNNNNNNNNNNNNNNNNNNNNNNNNNNNNNNNNNNNNNNNNNNNNNNNNNNNNNNNNNNNNNNNNNNNNNNNNNNNNNNNNNNNNNNNNNNNNNNNNNNNNNNNNNNNNNNNNNNNNNNNNNNNNNNNNNNNNNNNNNNNNNNNNNNNNNNNNNNNNNNNNNNNNNNNNNNNNNNNNNNNNNNNNNNNNNNNNNNNNNNNNNNNNNNNNNNNNNNNNNNNNNNNNNNNNNNNNNNNNNNNNNNNNNNNNNNNNNNNNNNNNNNNNNNNNNNNNNNNNNNNNNNNNNNNNNNNNNNNNNNNNNNNNNNNNNNNNNNNNNNNNNNNNNNNNNNNNNNNNNNNNNNNNNNNNNNNNNNNNNNNNNNNNNNNNNNNNNNNNNNNNNNNNNNNNNNNNNNNNNNNNNNNNNNNNNNNNNNNNNNNNNNNNNNNNNNNNNNNNNNNNNNNNNNNNNNNNNNNNNNNNNNNNNNNNNNNNNNNNNNNNNNNNNNNNNNNNNNNNNNNNNNNNNNNNNNNNNNNNNNNNNNNNNNNNNNNNNNNNNNNNNNNNCUUCCUAAAUUUUCAUUAACAUUCAAAGAUAUAUUGAAACAACUUGGGAUAAUAUUGCAGGACGAAUAGAAAGAUUAGAUAUAGAAACAGGGGUAGCUGAUCAAAAUUCUUUCAUAUGUUAUAUUAUAGCAGGUGAAAAUAGCUAAUAUCACAUUUUUCUAUGAUAAAUUUAUUUUUCCCCAUCUUUGGCUCAUCAUCCAGGAACCCAGCAAAGAUUAUUCUGCACCCAAACAAUUAUCCUAAGCUUUCUAAAAAUCUUUUACUAUACAACAAAAGAUGUGAUAAAUUGAAUCACAUAAAAUGUCUACUAUCUUUCCUCAUGUGCAUUAAUGCAGAAACAAUAAUUUCUCUUGUGCUUAAGCACUGAAGGAAAUUGCGUGGUGUACGCUUCAGUAGAAUAGGAACAAAGCAUGCAGUAUUAACUAUCAUAAAACAGGUAGUCCAUCUCACCUUUGCCUCAUUUGAGACAGAAGGCUUUGAGGGGAAUUCAACCCUGCGAGCUUUAAUAAUUGUGUCUUCACGCAAUAUUCGUUCUUGAGAUUGGUCAUGCCCAAAAGGACGUCUGCCAAAGAGCAUUUGGUAGAAUAGAACCCCAGCUGACCAGACAUCAACCUGACUCCCAAAAGAGAGCAAGCAAAGCAAUGGACAACAAAUAAAGAUAAGAAUAAGAUAUUCAUUAUCUAUGAAAAAGCUUCAUAAAAUGAUAUGUCUUGAGCAAUACAACCAUUUAGACAUUCAUAAAGGCAUGACGCAAGAAACAAAGGGAGUUCCUUGUUUCACAAUAAUCCCCUACCCUCUUCCCUGCAAGGACAUUUAUUCAUAGCAAGACUGACCUUCGAUGAUAUUAAAGGGAUCUUGCUGAGCUCAAAGCAUUCUGGCGGCAAGUACCUAAAUUACAGAAGGGGGAAAACACAUUAGCUACAGUUGCCUUAAAGCUAAACAAGUGAACCUAUAAGCAACAUUCUAACUGCAAUCACAUCAAGAUUCAUCUUUUCAUUGUGUCUUUCUUUGUGCAUCCAUGUGUUUUGCACACACAAAACAGAAAACAAACAAGAAAUAAAAUACCAUGGAAAAAUAGUUGGAAUAGCUAAAGAGAAUCAACGCACAAUUUCUAUUAAAAAGGGGCAAAAGAAGAGUUAGGUUAACUUAUGAAUUACUAGUGAAAAAUAUAUACAACAAUUUCAUGCAUGUAACUUUAUUCAUCCAUUUCAAGUCUGUACACGAACUCCAAUCCUUUUACCCAUUAACAAUUUAGAAGAUUUCAAAAAACCUUUAUCACUUAGCUUUCGACUUUUCAGAAAUAUAUUAGCGGUAUAGAAAGACCCUAUGCAGCUUAGGGUUGGCUCUGGGCCUUCCCUGUGCAGCUUAGGUGGAAGGCGAAGAAAACCCCAACAGGAAAAUAAACUGGAGCACCUAAGAACAUAUCUUCACAGACCAAGAACUACAAGAUCGCCAGUAUUAAUAACCCUAUUUCAUCCAUAGAAAUGCAAAUCUAUUCCAUGCUCAAAAUUCUGUCAUCAUGCAUCAAAUGCUGUCAUAUUAGUCAAGAGGUAACUGACCACCUAAUGAAAUAAAAGAAUCCAAAUGUUUCUCAUAACACUUAAAAACUGAAAUUCUGAUGAACAGAAAUGAAUUCAUUGUAUGGUAUGCAUGGGUGAUCUGAUAUCAACACAAUAAAUCACCACAAUAUUUGUGAUUGAAAUCCUUAUGCAAACUAAGGUGACAUAGCAAUGAAUAAUCUGUUACUAGCUAUCUUACAUAUUCUGUUCAGACGUUCCAAAACAAAUUCAAGUUUGAAAGAUGAAAGUUUUGACACGCACUUGACAUAUUAGAUAACCAACAAGUAAUUCUUUUAGAUUAGGAAACCGCAAAGUUGUUUUAGAUAUAUUGUGAAAGUGAGAACUUGUCCACUAAAUAAGUUGUAGAAUGUUGUAUUCAAACAAGGGAUACAACAAUUGCAUCCAGGUGAUCACAAAUGGCAGACUGCACAUGACUCACCAAUAUGUUCCAGCUUCCUGGGAUGUAAGUUCCAUACCCUGGGAUCCAACAUCAUCCUCCAUUAUCUUGCUCAGACCAAAAUCAGUAACUUUAGCAACACCAAGCUCAUCAAAUAGAACAUUCCCAGGCUUCAGAUCAUAAUGAAUAAUCUUCUGUGUUCUUUUAUUCAAGUAUACAAGGCCUUGAAAUAUUUGUACAAUAAUGAUCCGAGCUUCUCUCUCAGGCAGUAUAGGUGUUGCUUUAAGAACAGCAUCGAGAUCCUUUCCUGAUAAGGGAAGAUGAAGGAAAAUCAAUAAAGUAAAAUUUUGAGGGUACAUUCAAUAGGUUCAUUCUUACUGAUCAGAGCACAGUCUGAAGGUAUUCACUGAUAUGCCCAUAUAUAAGUAUUGAAAUCAAUAUCAUGUUCAAGAGAAUAUCAUACCACUACAGUACUCUAAGACAGUGCAGAAUGUAUUCUGGUCAAUCUCAAAAAUGUCCCAAAGCCGAACAAUGUGAUUAUGCACCAAUGUCUUGUGAAUAUUGUACUCUCGUAUAGCAUGCCUUAUGUAACUUUGCUUCUUAUCCUCACUCCACUGAGCAUUCAGACCAUGAAGCUUACAUGCAACGUAUCUAUGCUCUACCAAAUCAUAAGCCUGCUGGAAAUUUCUGACUUCAAAUCACUGCAAAAAGGUAUGCUUUUACAAUUGCCAAUAUUGGCAAAAGAAUUCUCUAGACUUUUGCUAUGGCAAUAAGGAGCCUUGCUUAAAAAUGGUGCUGCCAAUGUUUCAAUUAUCAAAAGAUUGAUGAAUUGUAAAGUUCUGACCUUGUAAACCUCACUAAAUCCUCCUUUCCCAAGGAGGUUUAGCAGGGCAUAUCGGUGAUUCAAAAUCUGAAAAUUAUUAAAGCGGGAACCAUCCUCAUCUCUUAUACGUUUCAUUUCACGUAUCAGCCGUCCCUUCUCCAGUUCAUAACGAUCUCUCUCACGCAAAAUAAUUUCUUCCUCCUAUAGAAAAUCAAUAGCCUAUUAAUGAGGACGCACAUGUGCAUAGAGAAGUAAAAUUAGUGAACUUACACGCUUAAUGCUUGCUAGACGAGAUUUAAAAAUUUCGUCCUGGAUUAUAAAAUCUUCAUCUUGCGCUCCUGAUUCUGCAUCUGUUCCAUCUCCCUUAUCUGCAUAUCAAAAAAAAAAAUAAAAAUAAAAAUAAAUGCAAUUAAUAUUAAGAUUUUUUCCUUUUUUUGUUUUGCAAGCAGAGAAAAAAAGACCGAGAGAGCUAACAAAAGCUAAAUAAACCACAAGCGAGCCAGCUUUUGAAAUUCAAGUGAAAGACAAACAUUUAUUAUUUAUCAACACGGGGCCAAAAGUUUCCUGUCCGUACUAAGAAUUUUGUAAACCACCAAUGGUAAAAAGUAGAUGAUCCUUUGACAGGAAUAAAAGGAACACCAACAGAUCCAUGAAUGAGCAUUAAGUUCAUGUUCUAGAGUUUCAAAAGGACCAUUCAGCUCCAUUCUCUCUGAAAAGAGAUAACAGGCCGUAAAGAGGACAACUGCCCAAGUGUUGUAUGAUAACGGGAAAUGCCCACUGGAGGUUAGCAAGAAUAUGUACCAGAAAACCUUAGAGCAAACAUAAUUUUCUGUUGAUCAGCAAAAGCCAUAACAGCAUGAGGACUGAUGAAAAAAAAAAUUAUAAAUAUGGUAAAAAAGUUUGAGGGCAACAAAAUCUUAAUAGACGCCUUAGCAAAAAGAGAGAUGCUAAAAUACUAAUCACAGUUUAGUACUUGACCAACUAAAAGAUCAAAAGGUACUUGAUAGGUAUUCCUGAAUCUUACAUUCCAACUACCUCAAAUAAUACUAAAAGAGUAGCAUAUGGGUGUCACCAAGCACUAAAAGGUAAAUGUUUUACCAGAUUGUCGUUUCUUCAAUGAUUUCCGCUGCCUCUCAACAGCCUCCUUUGUUUCCACCAAUUGUCUCUAAAAAGUCAAAUGAUGAAUCGAAAAUAUUACAAAUGCACAAAUGCACGCAAAAAGGUGACUUAUUUUAGAUUAAUAAUAAUGGUAUGUUAGUGUUCAAAGUACUACAGCGGCAGGGGUCAUUUCAGUAAAUUUGCAAGUUCUGCUGGGAUUCAUAAAAUUCUAUGGGUUCUAAAUUUACUUUAUUUGGUUCAUUUUGGUUAGAAUCCUAACAAUUUAGUAAGUUUAAUACUUGAUUUCAGUUUUGAAGUUGGAAUUCAUGCCAAAAAAGAUGAGUUAAAGUAAUUACAGUCUUAAGGAUUACUAAUUAGGAUUACUUUGAAACUAUGGAUGUCUAAGCUUAUCAUGCUUUAUUAGUAAGUUUCCAGUUCAAAUUCUUCAGUAUUGAUGCAAUUCUAGCUACAAUUUACUUAAAAGUGCGAACAAAAUUGUGAGUUCAUAGACUGCAACUUGAAAAGGAAAAAAAAUUGAAAUAAAUAAAUGCAGAGAAAGUAGAGUUUAAAAAGGGAUAAUUAAUUGGUUCAGGGGGGAGAGAUUUGACUAUGACAUACGAGAUGAGCAUUUAGAUCUUUCAGCAUUUGCCCAUCCUCCCAUGUCUCAGAUAUAACAGUUCCAGCUCUACAACAGACAAAGAAAACAUGAGUAACCUAAAUAAUCAAAAAAAAAAAAAAAAAAAAGGCACUCAACUGACAUAGAUUAAAAUAAGAAUUGCAGAGAGAGAGACAGACAGUAAACAAGGAUUGGCAAUAUGCCUACAUCUAUGGAGAGCCACCUGCAGUUUCCUCACCACAAUGGAAAAACCCACAAGUGCCCAUUCAUAGAAAUGAAUUUUCCUUUUACACGUAAGAAUAUCAGAACCCACAGUUACAAAAAUACACACCCAAUGUAGAUAUGCCAUGCGGUAACUAACUGUACCAUAUUACCUAGCUUUUAGCGUGCAAUUUCUUCUCUGAAAAUGAGACACAAUCUGAAUGUGGAAUAUUUGUUUUGGUUGGCAUUAGAUACAUAUAUAAUUUUUUUUAUCACACCAACGUUAGCUUCCAAUAAAAUAGUAAAUAGCCUUGAAUCAAGCAUGUUUAAUCACUUCUUUUGCCAUGCUUGAUGGGAUAUGCUACUGAAAGCUCGAGAUGCAGAUAUAACUUAAAUCAAAUAGAUGAAGGACUCACACAUAAAUAGAAACAUCAUAAUCCCAAUUUAGUUAAGUUCUCUGCAUUCUACUGUGUCUGGAAUUCUUCUCAAUUUCAGUUUUUUCCUUUGAAAAUUUUCAUUUUUUUUAUUUCCUCUUACAUCAAUCAAAAAUGCACCAAGACAGGAUACCUUAUCACGCCUACAUUGCCAAGUCUUAAAGAAUCCUGGCGAACUUUUAUCCUAGCUUCCUGUCUCUCUGCCUUUGAGACAGAUAUCAGUAGAUCAGAUAUCAUUUUCAUUCUCUGCAACAAGAAAGAAAGGAUACUAAAAAUGGGCAUAAAAUAUAAAUAAAGUUUACACCGUCUUCAAAUGACAUAUACCCUGUAAGAAACUUAAGCAUGCACAUGAAUCACACAUUGAAAACUAAAAUUCAACAUAAAGAUUCCAGCAGACAGAAGAAUUAAGUAAUUAAAUUCUAAGAUACUUUCAUCAGAACACUUGAAUUCUGGACAAGAAUAUGCUACUGCCCUAAAAUGAUGCCUUACAGACACAUCUCCAAAAUUUAACUACGGCAAACCUCCAGAGCAGCUUAACUUCUUAGGCAGUAGUGCAAUGUCGUUCAUGUCCACUGCAUAAAGAAGAAAAUUAUUCUGACCCUCCACCAUGAUGAUUAUUUCAGGGUAUAGUUUCCUUUUGCAUGCCAACAAUAUAAAAUGACUGAGAUCAAGAAAUAUAUUUUUGCCUGUUUAACUAAAUCUAUACAUUUCCAGCUCUUUUUUUCACGAGAAAACAAAUAAAUCUUUAGUACUUUCCUACUUUUGUAAGCUCCAGAAUCUCAUUGAAUCAUUUAGAUGCUUGUUAUUUAGGCGAAAGUUUUACUCCCUCUCAUGAUUCCAUUCAUUUGUUUCAGUCAUGAACCUGUGAGGCUCACGAAACAAAACUUAUCAGAUAGAAAGUAAAUGCAUUUAAUAUGAAGAAGAGAACCAAUAUGGCAGGAACAUUAAUAGUAAGAUUACUGGUAACUGCAAUAUUAAUUAACUACUAAAUCAGCCAAAGGUAAAUAUAUUGUAAAACCCAUGUCCUUCAGAAAGCACACCUUUGGCUUCAUUUGUUGUUCAUAAUCUUUUAGCUCCUUCAGUUCCUGCACAAAUAAAUAAAUUCUUUUAAUACAAUGUGGAUAAUUAAAGGAUAUAACGUAAGGGGAAAAAAAUAUACCUUUUCUAAUCGACAGCACAGAUUGUGAUUGUCAGCAGCCUCUUGACGAGAUUUACGAAGUUCCUCCUCUAGCAUUGCAACCUUUGCACGUAGGGAAGUGACCUCCUCCUAAUUCAAGCAAGCAAAAGGUGGGAUUAGAACAACAGAACGCCAAGGUGUUUUGUACUGUGGGUAAAGCAAUGAAUCCCUGGGAAGAUCUCAAAAUCUAACAAAUUGCAACGGAAGAUUUUUCUCUUUUAUUUAACACACACACACACACACACAAAACAAAAAAGAAAAGGUAAAAGAGUUUAUAUAACAAAGUCACCAAACUGAUACCUCUGAUGAAGUGUGAUCAUCAUUGCGUAAAUUCUCUUUAUGCCUAUUAUCCUGCAAAAGAUUAUACGUAAUUGUCCUUUUAGAUAAAUUUCCUGCAAAGGAGUUUACCAUUUGGAUGCAGACUUCCAGAGUACAAAGAUGGAAUGGAAACAAAAAGUUCUGCGUGUAAUCUUUAGAGGCCAUAAGUUCUCUGUCCAUAAAGAUCAAUAGCAAAAACAAUGGUGCCAGAAACAAAAAUUAUCUACAGAAAGGAACUACUCAAGUGUGCACAAGUUAACCCACAAUACUGACAAACAGCCUCCAAGUAAGCGCCAAUGACAUAUGCUGGUUAACGUCCACUGGAAACUCUUGAAUGAGAACCUGAAGAAAAAGGUUUAGAUUUCCUGAGGACAUAGCUUCAAUAUAUGCAGUCUUUUUUCUUCUGUUUCAUGCUGAACUGAACCUUAAGUUUGGUUAUGUUUUUCAAUUGAUAUUUUCUUCGGUUAAUGAAACCAUUUCUUCUACUUCUUCGUAGAAGACAGUAGGAAAACUCAAACUUGAGUCUUUAUACAAGCUGAGGUUAAGUCAUUAUCUUACGGGUUCCCGUUUCAUUUUAUAACAUUAUCCAUAUUUUGUUGAAUAUAUUCAGAAUUUCAGAUUGCUCCUCAAAGUCCAAUCCUAAGGUUCAUGCCCUAUAGUACCAUAUUGAUUAUUUAGAAUUAAUGUAUAAAUAUUUAUUAGUACCAGUCUUUAUAAUUUAUUUAGAAAUGAAUAUUAAAUGAAAUGAAUUUCAUGUUGUUAAUUUUGGUCUUAACAUAAGAAAGAUUUAGAAGAUUCACUUGUGGAAUUACCUUAAAAAAAUAAAAAUUUUCUUGUAUAAUUCAUGUGAAUGAAAUGAAUUGAUUGUUAAUAUACGACGGUCGAACUUAGUUUUAAAAUUUUUGUAAAAUCAGCUUAAUAAAAUAUCGAAAAUUUUACAUUUCGCUCAUAAAAUAUUUUUUCUUGUUCCACAACUCUUAAUAUAUUUCUUAACGGAAUGGUAAUUCCUUUUUAUCAUCAAAAAGCAAAAGAAAGGAAUCAUUAAAAUGGAAAAGUGAGAGAUGGGAAAGAAUAAGAGAGCUAUAUAUAUAUAUAUAUAUCUAUGGCAGAAGAAUGUUUAAUAUCAUAUGAUUGUGAAGAACUUUGCAUUUAGAGCCAAAAGUCAUUAAUUAAGCCAUGGCAGGUAUAUAUGAAAUUUUCUAUUUGAUCAUAUCAUAGCCGCAAGCUUUUUUUUUUUAUUUUAAUUUGUUCAUAUUUUCUUUUUCCAAACUUUAUUGCUAUUUUCUUGUUGCAUAUAAAAAAACUACUGGUAAUGUGGUUGAGCUUGUUUCAUCGAAAUUCCAAUGGACAAUUAAAAACUUUUCCAAGAUUACUGUCAAGAAACUGUAUUCAGAUAUAUUUAUUGUUUGUGCCUGUAAAUGGUAUAAUUUCUUGGCUACCUGUAGCUAAUAUUAUUAGAAUAAGAACUUGGUUAGUUUGUUUCAACUGAAUUCAACUAGAUUAAACGGAAUAAACAGAAUUUUUGAAUUAAAAAAAAAAAAACUAAUUUAACUAAACCAGUCCGAUUUGAUUUUUUUUUUCGUAGUUAUUAGAUCAAUUUAGGUUUUAAAAUAUUUGGAUUUCCUGGUUUAGUAUAAUAAAAACCGAACUAAACAGAAAAUUUUUAAUUUUUUUCUAUCAAAACUAAAAUCAAACUGAAUCAUAUAAUCAGUUCCAUUGGUUUUUUUUUUUUUUUUUUUUUUUUGUGUGUUUUAUUGAGUCCUAAAUAUUAUAUUAUGGGUCAAAAUCUAUGAGUAGUUUGUAAUAUAGUUUUUUAUGCAUGAAAAACUGACUUUGUUUUAAAAAAAAAAAAAAAGCAUAAAUUAUUAUUCAUUAAUCAGUUAAAGUUCUUUUUUUUUUUAAUUCAAAAUUAUUAUUUGCAGUAACAAUUCCAAAAUUAACGCUUAAUGUCUUCCUGUUAAAUAUCUUCCUAUUUUUGUUGUUUUUGUCAAUUUAUCAGGCGUUUGAUUGUUUUCCCAAAAGGAAACAAAGUAGAUGAUUAUCUGUCAAUAUAUCUGGCAGUUGCUGAUGCAGCAAAUUUGCCUUCUGGAUGGAGAAGAAAAGCAAAUUUUAGUUUGGCAGUUAUUAAUCAAUCCAAUAGCCAGUCUAGUCAGAAAACAUUUUUUGCACAAUUUGUGUUAGGUACAGCUAUACCGUGAAAAAUGGGUGAAAGGAUUGUAAUGUCCUUCGAGAAUGUUAAUUAAGUAGAAAUUGUGAAUUAUUAAUAAUUAUUCUAUUAUACUAAUUGACGUGGUCUUUGUUGUGGAAAUUGAGCUUUUUCUGCCAAAAAACAAUUUGUGAAUUACUGUACAUAAGUAAAUUUCUAGAUAAGUGGAGGAGUCACAAAUGGUCUCACUUAAAAUCCACUUGCCUUAGACUAAAUUCGUGUCAUUUGACAGAAUUUAUCUAGACAUGCAAUUAAUCAAACAAUAACACAAAAGCAAUAAAUAAGAAAUAUACAAAUUUAGAGAAGAGAGAAACUUCUAACUUACUAGGUAUUGGAAGACAAGUUGGGAUGAUUAAAACUUAAGGAGGUAGGCUCCUUUUAUAGGCAAAGGACUCACUAUUCCCUUCCAAUUUUCCCGAUGUGGGAUUCUAAGCCACCUAAACCAACAGUCUUAUUGAACUUUCUACUAAUGAAAAAAGCGGACGAUCUCAGAUUUGAAUUUAUCGACUAGAGGAGGAUUUACCCUCUGUAAUUAUAUCUAAUGCAUAACCUAUUUUGAUAUUAUAUAUGUUCACGUCUUGAAUUCUGGUGAGGCUAAGCCAAUACUAUAUAUAUGGCUUAAACUUUAUGUAUAUUUUGCAGAAACAACAAUUGAAUUCAAUGCAAAUGUAGUUGGUUGGGGUUUCCCAUAUUUUGUUCCUCUUAGCAAUAUAGGAGAUCCUAAAGAAAAUUAUCUUGUGGACGAUACUCUUCUAAUAGAAGCUGAAAUUACUGUCAGCAAUGUUAUGCAUCCUUCAGUAUCAGUCGAGACAAAAGAACCUGAACAACAAAGCAUCCAGGCACCACCACCUCCUCCAGUGAUCGCUGAGGAAAAGGAACUUCCAAAGGUAAUUCUUUCCAUUAAAAGACAAGUUUUUUUGAAUUUUCUUUCUGAAAAGAAAAUAACAUUUUUUUUUGGGCUGCCAUGACAGGAUCCCUCGGUUGAGUCUAAAGAAUCCUCCCAAGAUGUGCUAACAAAAUCUAAGAGUCUCCUAACAGAGCUUUCAAGCAGAACUACAACCCAAAGAUCAUCUUCAACUGAUGAUAUUUCAGUUUCACCUCAGCCUGAUAAUUUGCAGCAAGAAAAUGAAGCAUUGGCAGGAUUCUUUAACAUGUCAUUAGAGGCAAUCCAACAGGCUAACGUCUUUGGCAAUAUCGAAGAAAUAAUCCGUACACUUAUUCCAAAUACAAACGAUUUGCAAAUGAAAACAGUUCUUGAAGAUCUUGCCUCUCGAUUAAAAGAGUUUCAAGAAAUAAUCCCUACUGCUAAAGCCACUGUAGAAGCAGCUGAGAAUCGUAGGAAAUCUCUUCUGGAGAAAACAACAAAGCUUGAUUCAAAAUUAGCAGAAAGUCGAGAGAAACGUAGUUCCUUGGAUUCUGAGCUCUCAAAGAUUUCAAAUGAAGUGAAGAAAAUUGAGACUGAAAUUCAACGGUUAACCGCUCAGAAAGAGAAGCUUCUCGUCGAAAAGAAAAAUGUUGUUGCUCAGGUGGAGAAACCUAAUCCAGAAGCAUUAAAAGACUUGGAAGAAUGGAAAAAGCUUGAAGAGGAAAUGAAGCAAGCUAAUGCUGAGUGGGUUGGAGCAAAAGAGAAAUCAGCAUUAGCUAAUAUUCGUUGGAAACUUCACAAGGAGGAGUUAGGUCUUUGAAAUGCUUAAUGUCCCUUUUAAUGAAUUGAAUUGUGCAAUCUUUUUUUCUUUUGGAUUGAAUUUAUUCAUUUAAUGUGCUUAGUUUAUAAUAUCAUUGAAAUAAAUUAUUGUGUUUUAUAAUUUAAAAAAAAAUAAGGGAUUUAUUUUAACUAUCAUGAAUGAGGAGGGAGCUAGGCUUAAUUUUCAAGUUAAAUGAAAAAUAUUUUAAGAGUAAAAUUCACUCUAGGCUUGUUUGAAGAUCCAUGGGCUGAUCAGAGCUUUACAGACCACCUUGGAAGCCAGGUUUAGUUAAUAAACUUAAUGUUGGACUUUAAUUUCUUUUUUAUGGAUUAUGAAUCAAUCUCACUAUUCAUAAAUAGGCUCAUAGAGAUUUGGCAAGGGAAGCUGUGAGGAAGUCACUUGUUCUAUUGAAGAAUGGAGAGAACGCAGAUGCCCCAUUGCUUCCUCUACCUAAAAAUGCAGGCAGGAUUCUUGUUGCUGGUACCCAUGCCAGCAAUCUGGGCUAUCAGUGUGGUGGUUGGACUAUCACUUGGCAAGGCGUUAAUGGCAACAACUAUACAGCCGGUAGAUACUAAAACCCUUUUUCCGGCUAAUACUUUGCUUUGUGUUGAUAUUAAUUUGAUCACCGCGAAUAUUUGAAAUAAACGAUUCAUAUAGCCGGCCUAAAUAGUUUUGUACUAAGACUUAGUUGUUGAUGUUGUAUUGUAAUGUAACAGGAACCACUAUUCUAAGUGAAAUCUCAGCUGCUGUUGAUCCAAGCACAGAAAUAACCUACAGUGAAAAUCCUGAAGUUGCUUUUAUCAAGGCCAACAACUUCUCCUACGCCAUUGUUGUUAUUGCAGAGCUUCCUUAUGCAGAAACAAACGGAGAUAAUCUCAACCUGACAAUAACAGAACCAGGUCUUUCGGUGAUCAACAAUGUCUGUGGCACCACUAAAUGCGUUGUUGUUGUAAUCUCCGGCCGCCCUUUGGUGAUUGAGCCAUACAUGCCCCAAAUAGAUGCUCUUGUCGCCGCUUGGCUUCCAGGAACUGAAGGACAUGGAGUUGCGGAUGUGCUUUUCGGAGACUAUGGAUUUAGUGGGAAGCUGUCUCGAACUUGGUUNNNNNNNNNNNNNNNNNNNNNNNNNNNNNNNNNNNNNNNNNNNNNNNNNNNNNNNNNNNNNNNNNNNNNNNNUCAAGGUGCAAAAUCACAAGCUAGAAAGCAAGAAUUUUCAUUAAUUAGUAGAUUAGUGCAAUGAUUAACAUCCGAUAAGAUUUUAAUCAUAGGAUUAGUGGAGAUGUUUAAGGUAGUUUUGUAAUAAGAGAUAAGUUGUGUUAAUGUUUCUAUGAUGUUAAGAAUAGCAAAUUGAAUUUUUGUAGAUUUAAUUUGAUCAUUAAUUAUGUCUUAUUUUCAUAAAUUUUGUCUUCAUGGAUUUAGAAAUUUGGUAAAUAAAUAUAAUAAAUUUAGUUUAUUUUGAAUCAAUUAAACUGGAUUUUAUUUUAAUAUAUAUCAAUUAAACUGGAUUUUAUUUUAUUUUGAAUCAAUUAAACUGGAUUUUAUUUUAAUAUAUAUAACAAAAUUAGCUUUAACAUAUUUAUGAAUAAUAAAAAUUAUUUUUCUAUUUUUGUAAUGCUAUUGGAAUUUCGUUAUGAUUUUAAGGUAGGUUGUCAUGUAAUUAGGAUAUCCUUUUGCUUUAGGAGAGAAUGUUUAUAGGGGCCAAAUCCUUUUUUUUUUUUUUUUUUUUUUUUUGAAGCUCUAGCUAGAGUAUGAGCUGCAAAAGUUGCUUGUCGACGAACCCAUUACAUAGAAAUAUCAACACGAACUCAGAAUAAUAUCAAACAAUAAUUAAAACGUGGUUCGUAACGUUUUCAUUUUCUAAUAAAAGGCCAACUUUACCAACUUGGUAUGCUAAGUCAGUCAACUGACGGUCAAGUCUUUACUAUUAGAAAUGACAUCAUAAUUUCCAUUUAAAAAUUAAAAAAGAAAAAAACUCGUUAGUUUCUGAUUAACACGUGAUAAAGACUUAUAAUAGCCGGUCAAUUUACAUAGACUAAUACUAAUAUCAAUAUCAGUGAAUAGUCAAUAAAACUAAUCAUGUGUGGUCUGAUUGGUCUUCUUAUCUUUUAUAGAAGACAUAAGAAGUUCAAGCCCUCUCCGCCAUAAAGGUUAUCACAAAUUUGGUAAAUUUUACAUAUAUAUAUUUAUGAAAAAUGAUGAAUUUUCUCAACAAUAAAAAAAAUGCAUCCAUGAUUUUUGAAGUUUAAAAAAUAUUUGGAUCUAUGAUUUUUUUUUUUAUUCAUUAAAAAUACACACGUGCUUGUACUAGUGAAUGAAUAUAAGUUUUGAUUGUGUUGUUUGUUUCUAUUUUACUAUUGGUGCUUGACUAUGUCAAAACGUAGCACAAUCGUUAGCUAUCAAUGCAUCUUUCAACUUGUAGAAAACAUUAAGUAUCAAUCGUAGAAUUUAAUGUGUGAUAGUGUAGAAUUUAAUCGUAGAGAGUUUAGAAAUAAAAACUGUGGGUUGCAUUGGAUACAUCUAUUGCAGUACUUUAGAAUUUGAAGCGAUAAUGUUUUUGCUCCUUAUAUUUGAGAGUUUCUUGCAGGCGUCCUUUGUCAAAGAUGCACCAAUUUCUGUCAACCGUGUAACAUGGAAUUCUGAUGGAAGUCUUGUGGGUAUGUGGCCUUCAAUAAGAAAUUGGCACCAUAAGGAGCUUUUUUGUCAUCUUAUUGUUUUUUAUGCUACAGGAGGUGCAUUUAAUAAGCAUUUGGUUCACCUGUAUGCUUAUAAUGGAUCAAAUGAUCUACGCCAGCAGUUAGAGGUGAGCUCUGAUACCUGCAAAUCAUGUGAGGCAAAAUUUGCAACUGUAGGAUUUACUUGCCCUUUUUUAAAAAAAAAAAAAAAAUUCAGAUUGAUGCUCACGUUGGGGGUGUUAAUGACUUGGCUUUUGCUCAUCCAAACAAACAACUGUGUGUUGUAACCUGUGGAGAUGAUAAGCUAAUAAAGGUAAAACAUUAAUUUUCACAGGAGGAUAAUUAAAACAUGGAGUUUCUAAUGUAAGACAUGAAACAGGUUUGGGAUUUAGGGGGACGGAAAUUAUUUAAUUUUGAAGGUCAUGAGGCUCCAGUUUAUUCUAUAUGUCCUCACCAUAAAGAAAGCAUUCAGGUAUGUCAGAAAAAUGAAAGGGCUAAUCAGUUAUUGUCUUAUUUAGCCUAAGAUUUUUACCCUAAUAAUCCAUAAUUACCUUGAUUCAUUAAAACUUGUAAUGCCACUGAUAUAUAGGGUGCAUAUUCUGCAAUUCCUUAUCAAUGACUGUGCCAACUUCUCUGCCUAUUAGGCCUGCUCCUUUUCUUCCAACAUAUUUGUUGUAGCAAAGCGAACCACUCGAAUCUUAUUCUUUGUGGUGCUGCCAAUCUACCAAUAGGGUUUUUUAGCGGUAUAAUAUCAAUUACAUUUUAAAUUAAUUAUAGAAGACAUGUUACAGUGGCGUUAACCUUUUGAGUUGUGAACUUGCAGUUUAUAUUCGCAACUGCUAUUGAUGUAAAAAUAAAGGCCUAGCUAUAUCAUAAUGUGGGACCUAGAGUUUAUUAUNNNNNNNNNNNNNNNNNNNNNNNNNNNNNNNNNNNNNNNNNNNNNNNNNNNNNNNNNNNNNNNNNNNNNNNNNNNNNNNNNNNNNNNNNNNNNNNNNNNNNNNNNNNNNNNNNNNNNNNNNNNNNNNNNNNNNNNNNNUUGGCAUAUUGUUGUCAAAUCUUUGGUGCCAUUUUACUUAGCCUUUUUAAUUAUUUUUGUCUUUUUAACAAAUUAUUUGUCACUUCUGCUCCCUUCUUUCAGAUUAUUCUCUUGUGGAACAAGUAAAGAGGGGGAUUCUUUCCUAGUUGAAUGGAACGAAAGUGAAGGAGCGAUAAAGAGGCACUAUGUUGGGUUCAGAAAGAAAUCAAUUGCAGGUGUAGUGCAGUUUGACACCACACAAAACCACAUUUUGGCUGCAGGUGAAGAUAGCUAGAUAAAGUUUUGGGAUAUCGAUAAUACCAAUGUUUUCACAAGCACAGAUGCGGAUGGUGGACUGCCGGUUAGUUAUUUGAUUAAUUCUAGCGCUCUUGUGCAAGAUGCUCAUUUUUGUAAAACUAGACACUUAAUUGUAUCAACUGCUUCAGAGUCUUCCUCGCUUGAGAUUCAAUAAGGAAGGAAAUCUACUUGCUCUUACUACUGCAGACAAUGGUUUUUAGUUUUCUAAUUGUUUUUUAACAUUUUGUUCAGUAUAAUAACAAUUACAUUUUUAUAUUGUUUUUAAAUUGUGUUUGUGAUAUAUAUAUAUAUAUAUAUAUGGCAAUUUUCAUAGUUGCAAAAAAAUUAUGGUUUUAUAAUAAUUUUUAUUUUUUUUAUUUUUUUUAUUUUGCGACCGAUUUGCGACCAAAAAUAAAAACUUUAAAUUUACAAUUUGCGAUCGAAUUUCAUAAUUGCGACAGACUUUUUCUGCGACCAAUUUGCGACAGCGUUUCCAACGGAAAACACGACGAACAUUUGCCACCGAUUUUUUCAAUUUUGCGACCGAUUUAUCAGUCGCUAAUUUGCGACCGACGAAAAAAUUGGUCGCAAAAUAAUUUGCGACGAGCAUUUUUUCGACCGACCAACAUCGGUCGCAGAUCGGUCGCUAAUUGAAAUUUGCGACCGAUUUCUUGCAUUUUGCUACUGAUUUGUCGGUCGCAAAAUGCUAUUUUUUUUGUAGUUAAAGCCUUUGGCUACUCCAGAGGAUUGGAUUGGAAUGCUUAAUUGGUUCCAAAAUGGUUCAACCUGGUUCGGCUAUCUCGUUGGAAAUCAGACAUAGAAAUAAAUGCUCUUGCAAUUGUAUGAUCAACGUGGUUCGGCUAUCUCUUAACAAAUACAGAUGAAAUUUGCUCGAAUCGCACCAAGGAAAGACUUAGAAUUUAAAACCACUAAGCCAAAAUGAGAUAACAGGGCUGUGCAACCAGGUGAUUCGGAUUCGAACCGAACCACAGGAAAAAAAAAGAAUGAAAUAAUUUUUCUUUGAAACUGAAAUAAGCUCAGAAACCUAACCAAACCGGUCACUUUGGUUCGGUACUCAUUGAUUCGGUCAAACGAUUCAGAAUAAAUAUUUAUAAUAACCGAUCCAAAGACUGAAAAUAACCGAACUAAAAAUUGAAAAUAAUUUGGUUUGGGUUGGGUUUUUAGUAUUUUCCAAAGUUUGCUCACCCUUGUCAGCCUUCAAAGCAUUGAUCAAUACUUGACAAUCUGAUUCUAUAAUCACUGAAAUUUGUCAACUAUGCAAUAACCAUUUUAGAUUAAAAUGUAGAAUUCAUGCUAAGCAUUGCUCCUACCAUAAGAUUAUAAUUUCUCUGUAAACUAUGAUAAGAACCUUAUAUCUAAAAUUCUAUUGCAGGGAUCCUAAUCUUGUGAAGAGGAUUGGGGCUGCAACUGCUCUUGAAGUUAGAGCAACAGGCAUUAAUUAUGUUUUUGCUCCAUGCAUUGCGGUAAUACAAUCAAAUCAUCUUAGAGCCGGUUUUUUUGAUAAGAAAACAAAAUACUUAACAUUCCCAACUUAUUAUUGUGUAACUAGCAUUUACAUCCCUCUAGCUUCAUCAAAUAACUCUUAGGGCCCUAACUUACUGUGUAUCUUAAAUUAUGAAAUUAUUUAUACAUUUCAUGAUAUGCUUUAUACACAUAAUAGGUCUGUAGAGAUCCGAGAUGGGGAAGGUGCUAUGAGAGCUAUGGUGAAGAUCGUAUGUUGGUUAGAGAUAUGACAGAAAUUAUAUCUGGAUUACAAGGUGAUGCUCCUAAAAAUGGCGUUCCUUAUAUAUCUGGAAAGUAAGUUUAAGUUCAUAGCCACUCCAUUCAAUUGUACAUUAAUUAGUAGAUUAGUGUAAUCUAGAAAGCAAGAAUUUUCAUUAAUUAGUAGAUUAGUGGGAUGAUUAACAUCCGAUAAGAUUUUAAUCAUAGGAUUAAUGGAGAUGUUUAAGGUACGUAGUUUUGUAAUAAGAGAUAAAUUGUGUUAAUGUUUCUAUGAUGUUAAGAAGAGCAAGUUUAAUUUUUUUAGAUUUAAUUUGAUCAUUAAUUAUGUUUUAUUUUCAUAAAUUUUGUCUGCAUGGAUUUAGAAAUUUGGUAAAUAAAUAUAAUAAAUAUAGUUUAUUUUGAAUCAAUUAAACUGGAUUUUAUUUUAAUAUAUAUAACAAAAUUAGCUUUAACAUAUUUAUGAAUAAUAAAAAUUAUUUUUCUAUUUUUGUAAUGCUAUUGGAAUUUUGACUACGAGUAAUAUCAAACAAUAAUUAAAACGUCAUUUGUAACGUUUUCAUUUUCUAAUAAAAGGCCAACUUUACCAACUUGGUAUGCUAAGUCAGUCAACUGACGGUCCAAGUCUUUGCUAUUAGAAAUGACAUCAUAAUUUCCAUUUAAAAAUUAAAAAGAAAAAAAUUCAUUAGUUUCUGAUUAACACAAAGAAGACUUAUAAUAACCAGUCAAUUUACAUAUACUAAUAUCAAUAUCAGUGAAUAGUCAAUAAAACUAAUCUUUUGUAGAAGAUAUAGAAAGUUCGAGCUCUCUUCGCCAUAAAGAUUAUUCCAAAUUUGGUAAAUUUUACAUAUGUAUUUAUAAAAAAUGAUGAAUUUUCUCAACAAUAAAAAAAAUGCAUCCAUGAUUUUUGAAGUUUAAAAAAAUAUUUGGAUCUAUGAUUUUUUUAUUAUUAUUAUUCAUUAAAAAUACGCACAAACUAGUACUAGUGAAUAAAUAUAAGUUUUGGUUGUGUUGUUUGUUUCUAUUUUACUAUUGGUGCUUUACUAUAUAUGUCAAAACGUAGCACAAUAGUUAGCUAUCAAUGCAUCUUUCAACUUGUAAAAAAGAUUCAGUAUCAAUCCGUGUACUAAUGUAGAAUUUUAUGUGUGAUAUGUAGAAUUUCCUGCUAAGCAACAAUUUUUCAAAGACAGCCUAAUUUGGCUUGAAAUUUAGUUACAGUAAGGUCUCUUCACCCUUAUCUGCAAGUGUAUUUAGUGAGGAUGGAAUCCGAAAGCUCUUCUCACAUAUCCAACCUGCGGUGCCAAUUGAAUUACAACCCGUAAAUCUUACUUUUAUUAUUUAUUGUAUUCAUUAGUAUAACAUUUAUAUUAAUGCUUAGAAUUUGACUGCUGCCAGAACACUUAACAAUUACUAAAAUAGUUAAUAUUUAUCUGACAAAACCUAAGUUUUGCAUCAGACUACAAGUCUUCCCUUGAUAUUAAGAUGAAUAUCAACCUCACACGUUUUUGUCUAAGAACAAAUAAUUAAUAUUCCACUGAUAAUAUUUGACUUGGUCACCUUCAUUUUUAUUUGGAAGUUAGAAGCUCUAAAUUAGCUAAACUGUUGGCGAGCUGCUCGAAAAUAAGAAAUUCAAUCUUAAAGAAAGUUCAUUUGAGUUCAUUCAACAAACUUAACAAGAUGAGUUUGAUCCUAUUCAAGCCCAUUUAAUUGAUAAACCAAGUUCAAACUUGAAUUCGAGCUUUAAAGAAGGCAAAAUGAUACAUAUUUUGGAUAUUUUAUUCACUGAUGAGUAGAAAUUAUAAGGGGCAGUUCAGAUCUUUCUUACACAAUAGACGGCAAAUGGAGCUUUUUCCGAAUGGAGGGAAUCAUAAUCAUAUAAAGACAUAAGUUAGGGCCCUGAAAGUUAUUUUAUCAAAUUAGAGGGAUGUAAAUGUUAGUUACACAAUAAUAAGUUGGGAAUGUUAAUGUAUUUUUUAUCGAAAACUAACAUUUUAUUGUUCUGUUUGAAGAUGAUAUUUAAUAAAAAAUAUAAAUCUUCGUAAUGAUAACUAAUUAUUUAUCUGAUUUGGACGUCAAAAAUAACUUUUCUGGGAUUUUCUAUACCUAAAUUGCCUUUUAAGAAUUUGAUACAUGUGAUGUGUAUAGACGAGUUUCCAAAACUAUGGGUCAAUAAUUUAGUAAUGUGUUGCACUGUCAACCUUCAUUUGUAGAAAAUCCAUAUCUAUCUCUAACUAAAUAAAAUCAAAUAUCAUACAUUCUAAAUUCUCAUGAGAGAAGGACAAAAAAUAUAUAAAUCAAUGAAAUAUCUAUCUCGAGACAAAUAAUAAUAGCACGCAAAAAAAAUAAAGAAAAAAAAGAAGAUGGAAAUACACAUAUUUAAGUUUAUCAACAAGACAGCUCCAAUCUAAAAUUAGAAUUAAAUGAUGACAGGCUUUUUGAGCAAGUGUACGAAAUUGUACAAGUAAUAGAAGUGAGUAGCGUAUCGUUCCAUAAAAAUUGUAUACCAAGUAUUAAAAUUGUGUUAACCUAUUAUUAUUUAAACGACAAUAAAGAGAAUGUAUUUGAAAAUAAAAGAAUUAAAGUAAAAACAAUAAGAAUGAGAUCAAGCAAGAAUUUGUUGAAAAGAAAUCAAGGUUUGAAANNNNNNNNNNNNNNNNNNNNGAUUCUAUCCAAUUUAUUUUAUUAGUUUGAUAAUCAAUUUUAAUUAUUGAAAAAGGAGAAAUAACCCUAAAAUCGCUAAAAAGCUCUCUCGAUGUUUUAUUAGCUAUUUUAACCCAAUUCAAUUAUCCAUCUGUCAAUGACGCAACCAAACAUAGAUUAAAUCAUUAAAUUCUUGUGAUUAUUGAGGAAUCCACAAAUUAAGGCCUUUAAUUUUAUGACAACCUACCACGAGUCAAACCAUCUAGCUCUCGCAUCAAAUUAUUAUUCCUAUGAAAUUUAUUAUCCUGUUCAUAUCAAAAAUCCUUCUCUUGACAGUGAUUAAUGAAAUAAAUCAAUCAAAGGGAGAAACUCCGCUUAGAAGCAUUAAGAUUAAUAAUAAAUUUUAUUUGAAUAAAGAAAAUCAAAUCUAAUAUUAGAAACUGGAAUUGAAGUCAAGCUACAUCAUAUAUCCAGUAAAAAGAUUUAGUUCGACAUAGUAAAUAAAUUAAACUCAAUUAAACUUGUAAAUAAUUCCACAAUGAAUAAUAAACAAGAAGAGAGUUUAGAAAUAAAAACUAGUCAACUAUUAGCUUGAGCAGCUUCCUUGAAUCUUGACACCAAUUUUGAGCACUUGAAGUUUUAAAGAAAGAGAAAACUAUGUAGAGAUCAAUAGAUGGAACUUUUUGAGCUGAAGCACCUUCUUGAUUAUUCCCUGAAGGAUUCGCGCUGGCAGCCAUAGACAAGAAGAAACCAAAGCAAACCAAAGCGAGAAAACACAGUAACAAUUACCAGUUGCUUGCAAUUAUAUGUAUACGUGACUGAAUUUUUCUGUUGUUCCACUAAAUUCCAAAAAAAGUUUCCCUAUAAAACUUGAUAGGAUAUGGAUACUAAUGUAAAUCCAGCUUCUUCGUUAAAUUUACUUGUUUUUUCUUUUUGUUCACCAAACACAAAGUAUCAAGUAUGUAGAUAUGAAGAAGGGUCCAUUCCAGUCUUUAUAUUUCGUUUUUUUUAUAAAUUUUUAUAUUUUUCAUUAAAUAAAUUAUUGAUUUAUAUUCGUUUGACGUACCUCUUUGAUAAUACUAGAAUAUAUUCUAAAUAUUUCAUAUAUAUUUUUUAUAUAAAACAUAAAUCCCUAAGAAAUCUAUUGAAAUCACAGUAUGAAUUAUAUCUCCUCAAACUCCUCUAACAUCUCUGAAAAUCCUCCAUUAAUCUCUAUUGUCUCAUCUACAAAAACAAACUAACGGAUUGUGUUCUAAAUUUAUAUAUGCACAGCGGCUCAGACUGGAUAUGUAAAAAAAAAUCUAUCGGUUCGAUUUCCACUAAAUACACCUGCAGGAGAGAUAAAAAGUUUUAAAUGUGACUAAAUCUCGAAUUGAAUUUAGUCGGUCUCUAGUAAUACAGUCUAAUACCAAUAGUUUAUAUUUUAAAAAUUUAUAUAUAUAGAAAGAAAAGGGGACGAGGCAGAUAAUCAUAAAAUUUCUCUCCUCUUUCAUUAUUUUUCUCAAUUCUCUCCAAACACUCGACAAAACACAUCUUAUCAUUUUUUUCAGAAUUUAUCAUAUCUAUAUCAAUUAUAUUUUCGGUAUUUUCUCAUGGUUUGUAUCUAUCUUGCAUUGAGAGUUAGCUCUUUAUUUUAUAUAGAGUAUUUUGUCUUCUUUCUUUACAUUUGGUUUGUUUUUAUUUAGAAUUAUGUGUAAUCUAUGGAGAAUUUAUUAUAUAAAUUAUAAUCUUUAUCUCUUAGAGUUUGAUACCGCAAUUUGUCUUUGUUAUAAACAAUUAAUUUAUAGCUAAUCAAGCCGGGAGCAUAAAAAAAUAAAAAUUUGUCUAGUUAGUUACUCUAAAGGUCAAUAAAUUUUUUAAGUUCACUUUUCAAUUUAAAAAAAAAAAAUUUAUCUAACUAGUUACUUUAUAGGUCAAUCCAUUUUUUUAAAUUUAAUUUUCAAUUUUUUAUUAAUAUCUGAUUACUUCAGUGAAGUGAUGCUAUUUAGUUAUAAUAGUUUUAUUUUAUGUUUAGUUUUUAGGAGAGCCAUUAGGUUCUCUAUAUAUUAUUUAUGUUUAUUUAAAUUUAUUAACGAGAUAAUAAUAUAUUAUAUAAAAAAAUGUAAAAUUCAGUAAAUUAGCACUAAUCAGGUCAAUAAUUUUAGUUAUUUAAAUUUAUAAAGUUAGAAAUAUUAUAAUUAAAAUUUACAGCAGAAUAAUAAAAUUUAUAAAGUUAGAUAAUAAUAUAUUAUAGUUUAUUUUGAAUCAUUUAAACUGGAUUUUAUUUUAAUAUAUAUAAGAAAAUUAGCUUUAACAUUUUUAUGAAUAAUAAAAAUUAUUUUUCUAUUUUUACAAUGCUAUUGGAAUUUAGUUAUGAUUUUGGGUAGGUAGUCAUGUAAUUAGGAUAUCAUUUUGGUUUAGGAGAGAAUGUUUAAAGGGGUCAAAUCCAAUUAAUUGACUAGGAGUAAUAUCAAACAAUAAUUAAAACGUCAUUCGUAACGUUUUCAUUUUUUAAUAAAAGGCCAACUUUUCCAACUUGGUAUGUUAAGUCAGUCAACUGACGGACCAAGUCUUUGCUAUUAGAAAUAACAUCAUAAUUUCCAUUUAAAAAUUAAAAAGAAAAAAAAUUAUUAGUUUCUGAUUAACGCGUUGAAGACUUUUAAUAACCUGUCAAUUUACAUAUACUAAUACUAAUAUUAACAUCAGUGAAUAGUCAAUAAAACUAAUUAGGUGUUCUCUGAUUAGUCUUUUUAUCUUUUGUGGAAAAUAUAGAAAGUUCGAGUUUUCUCCGUCAUAAAGGUUAUCGCAAAUUUGGUGAAUGUUAUUUAAAGGGGAGAGCUAGCUCAUACUGUAUAGUUCACAAUGUUAUUUCGGCCAAUUAAACUUUCUAUAUAUAAAAAAAAUGAAUAGUUAAUAAACAUUUCUUAAUUUAUUUAAUUUUUUAAUAAUUGUUAUUAUUGAAAUAUUUAUUUGAUUAAUCAUUUAAUUAAUAUUUAGUUAUUUGACACAAUCUAGGUGAGAAAAAAAAAAAAGAGAACCGGCUCUCCUUAUCAAGGGAUUUGGUGAAUUUUACAUAUAUAUUUAUGAAAAAUGAUGAAUUUUCCCAACAAAAAAAAAAAAAAAUGCAUCCAUGAUUUUUGAAGUUUAAAAAUAUUUGGAUCUAUGAUUUUUUUUAUUCAUUAAAAAUACACACAUUCUAGUACUAGUGAAUAAAUAUAAGUUUUGGUUGUGUUGUUUGUUCUAUUUUUACUAUUGGUGCUUGACUGUGUCAAAACGUAGUACAAUAGUUAGCUACAAUGCAUCUUUCAACUUGUAGAAAACAUUCAGUAUCAAUCCGUAUCCUAACGUAGAAUUUAAUGUGUGAUACUGUAGAAUUUCCUGCUCAGCAACAAUUUUUCAGGACAGUUUAAUUCGGCUCGGGAUUAGUAAUAAUUAAAAUCUUUUCACCAUUCUCUGCAAGUGUGUUUAGUGGGAAUCGAAUCCGAGAGCUUUUCUCUCGUGCCUAGUCUGCGCGGCUAAUAUUUCCCAAAAUUCCGUUGAAUUUUCAAUUUUGAAAAUUUAAUAAUAUUUAAAAAUAUUUCAAUAAUUUCAUUGGUGAAUAUAAGUCUGUCUUACAUAUCAACAUCAACAGGUACAAUGAAUGAAGUUGGCAAGCAGGCAGAAAUUUACUUGGUCAACUCUUCUUCUUAUCUUCCACAUACAUAGCUAAGACCUUUCCACCUUUCCUUUAAAUUUCUUUAGAUUGUGUAAUUGAGAAAUCUGAGAAAGAAAAGAUGUUACCUUUCUGGUUUGUGAUAUUGACAUUCAUCUCUCAACCCGUAACAUCUAUUGAUGUAAUUUCUUCUAGUUGUCCUGAAAGAUGCGGGGACGUUCUUGUUCCAUACCCAUUUGGAAUCAACUUCACAUCUGGAAUUUCUAAUCCCUACAAUUGUGCGCUAAACAAGCAUUUCAUCUUAACUUGCAAUGUAAGUGAUGAUCCUCCGACUCUAUUUUUUGGGGAAAACAUGCCUAUUCACAAUAUAUCAAUAGAAGAAGGAACCAUCUCCGUGCGAAUUGAAUCAGCAAACAAUUGCUACAACGAGACAGGAAUAACGUACAAUUUUAGUCAAUAUAUUAGAAUGAAAGGCGGCCGGCCAGUUCGGUUCUCUGAUACUCGGAACAAGUUCACUGUAGUUGGUUGCGAUACUUUAGCCUUAAUGGAAGAUGACGAAGAGACUUUUGGUAGCGGCUGUAUUUCGAUGUGCGACAGUAAUGUUACUCUAGAAGGUUCUUGCUCAGGCCGUGGAUGCUGCCAGACACCGCUGCCGCGAAAUCUUACAACAAUAAACAUUCACCUCUCAAGCCUUUAUAAUCAUAGCAGGGUUUGGCAGUUUAAACCGUGUGAAUUUGCGUUUCUAGCCGAUGAAAGGACUUUUAACUUUUCGAAUCUGCAGCUCUCUUCUUAUCCAUAUUCGC
rnacentral:lncRNA from 1 species